UCCAGACUCCUACGGGAGGCAGCAGUGGGGGAUAUUGCACAAUGGGGGAAACCCUGAUGCAGCGACGCCGCGUGAGUGAAGAAGUAUUUCGGUAUGUAAAGCUCUAUCAGCAGGGAAGAAAAAAGACGGUACCUGACUAAGAAGCCCCGGCUAACUACGUGCCAGCAGCCGCGGUAAUACGUAGGGGGCAAGCGUUAUCCGGAUUUACUGGGUGUAAAGGGAGCGUAGACGGCAAUACAAGUCGGAAGUGAAAUACCCGGGCUCAACCUGGGAACUGCUUUGGAAACUGUAUGGCUGGAGUGCUGGAGAGGUAAGCGGAAUUCCUAGUGUAGCGGUGAAAUGCGUAGAUAUUAGGAGGAACACCAGUGGCGAAGGCGGCUUACUGGACAGUAACUGACGUUGAGGCUCGAAAGCGUGGGGAGCAAACAGGAUUAGAUACCCCAGUAAUU
rnacentral:rRNA from 1 species